AUGCGGUCGUUGGAAAAGCGAAACCUGCCCGGGGGUAAUGUUAACGAUAUCUUUCUGUUUAAUGAAGUGAUUGGCCAUCUGGGCCUCGUUGAGCUACCAAUUAAAGGACGGCAAUUCACUUGGUCGAAUAUGCAAACUGAACCUCUACUUGAACAGAUCGAUUGGUUCUUUACUUCAGUUGCAUGGACCAUGGACCAUCGAAACACGCUGGUCUUGCCCCUUGCACGCACGAAUUCCGAUCAUCUUCCGUUUUGA
rnacentral:rRNA from 1 species